rnacentral:rRNA from 1 species
GGAUAGAGAAAGCUUGCUUUUUCUAGGCGUCGACCGGCGCACGGGUGAGUAACGCGUAUCCAACCUGCCCACCACUUGGGGAUAACCUUGCGAAAGUAAGACUAAUACCCAAUGAUAUCUCUAGAAGACAUCUGAAAGAGAUUAAAGAUUUAUCGGUGAUGGAUGGGGAUGCGUCUGAUUAGCUUGUUGGCGGGGUAACGGCCCACCAAGGCGACGAUCAGUAGGGGUUCUGAGAGGAAGGUCCCCCACAUUGGAACUGAGACACGGUCCAAACUCCUACGGGAGGCAGCAGUGAGGAAUAUUGGUCAAUGGGCGAGAGCCUGAACCAGCCAAGUAGCGUGCAGGAUGACGGCCCUAUGGGUUGUAAACUGCUUUUAUAAGGGAAUAAAGUGAGCCUCGUGAGACUUUUUGCAUGUACCUUAUGAAUAAGGACCGGCUAAUUCCGUGCCAGCAGCCGCGGUAAUACGGAAGGUCCGGGCGUUAUCCGGAUUUAUUGGGUUUAAAGGGAGCGUAGGCCGGAGAUUAAGCGUGUUGUGAAAUGUAGACGCUCAACGUCUGCACUGCAGCGCGAACUGGUUUCCUUGAGUACGCACAAAGUGGGCGGAAUUCGUGGUGUAGCGGUGAAAUGCUUAGAUAUCACGAAGAACUCCGAUUGCGAAGGCAGCUCACUGGAGCGCAACUGACGCUGAAGCUCGAAAGUGCGGGUAUCGAACAGGAUUAGAUACCCUGGUAGUCCGCACGGUAAACGAUGGAUGCCCGCUGUUGGUCUGAAUAGGUCAGCGGCCAAGCGAAAGCAUUAAGCAUCCCACCUGGGGAGUACGCCGGCAACGGUGAAACUCAAAGGAAUUGACGG